UACGUAGGGGGCGAGCGUUGUCCGGAUUCAUUGGGCGUAAAGAGCUCGUAGGCGGCUUGGCAAGUCGGGUGUGAAAACUCCAGGCUCAACCUGGAGAUGCCACCCGAUACUGCUAUGGCUUGAGUUCGGUAGGGGACCGCGGAAUUCCUGGUGUAGCGGUGAAAUGCGCAGAUAUCAGGAGGAACACCGGUGGCGAAGGCGGUGGUCUGGGCCGACACUGACGCUGAGGAGCGAAAGCGUGGGGAGCGAACAGG
rnacentral:rRNA from 1 species